GGUUAAGCGACUAAGCGUACACGGUGGAUGCCCUGGCAGUCAGAGGCGAUGAAGGACGUGCUAAUCUGCGAAAAGCGCCGGCGAGGUGAUAUGAACCUUUGACCCGGCGAUGUCCGAAUGGGGAAACCCAGUGCAAUUCGUUGCACUAUCGUUAACUGAAUACAUAGGUUAACGAGGCGAACCGGGGGAACUGAAACAUCUAAGUACCCCGAGGAAAAGAAAUC
rnacentral:rRNA from 1 species